GGAUGUAUAGCUCAGUGGUAGAGUGCAUGCCUAAGAUGCAUCAAGGUCCUGGGUUCAAUUCCCAGUACUUCCA
rnacentral:tRNA from 1 species